UACGUAGGGGGCAAGCGUUGUCCGGAUUUAUUGGGCGUAAAGAGCGUGUAGGCGGCCAUACAGGUCCGUUGUGAAAACUGGAGGCUUAACCUCCAGACGUCGAUGGAAACCGUAUGGCUAGAGUCCGGAAGAGGAGAGUGGAAUUCCUGGUGUAGCGGUGAAAUGCGCAGAUAUCAGGAAGAACACCCGUGGCGAAGGCGGCUCUCUGGGACGGUACUGACGCUGAGGAGCGAAAGCAUGGGGAGCGAACAGG
rnacentral:rRNA from 1 species